rnacentral:misc_RNA from 1 species
GAUGAAGAACGUAGCGAAAUGCGAUAAGUAGUGUGAAUUGCAGAAUUCCGUGAAUCAUCGAAUCUUUGAACGCACAUUGCGCCUUCUGGUAUUCCGGAAGGCAUGCCUGUUCGAGAGUCAUUAACAACCGUUUCGAUCCCUUUCUUUCAGAAAUUACAAAGAGGUAAAGGGUUUGGUUAUGGUGGAGGAGGGAAAGGGAGCGUUUAGCCUGUAAAAAAAGAGGCUGUGUUCCGCCUCACCCCCAAAAUUGUACAGGCGGUCGUGUGCGCCCACGCAUCGAGGUGUUGUAAAAGCUGCCACGGCACUUUUCACCUGUGCAGUGCGAGAUUGGCCAGCCGGUUUAAAAACCCCUCCAAACAAUCAAAGGUUGACCUCGGAUCAGGUAGGGAUACCCGCUGAACUUAAGCAUAUCAAUAAGCGGAGGA